rnacentral:tRNA from 1 species
AGGGCCGUCGCCAAGCGGUAAGGCAAGAGGUUUUGAUCCUCUCACUCGUGGGUUCGAGUCCCGCCGGCCCUG